rnacentral:rRNA from 1 species
UAGGGAAUAUUGGGCAAUGGGCGAAAGCCUGACCCAGCCAUGCCGCGUGAGCGAUGACGGUCCUCGAGAUUGUAAAGCUCUUUUCUGAGGAAAGAACAUCCGGGAUAGGAAAUGAUCCCGGCUUGACGGUACCUCAGGAAUAAGGAACGGCUAACUCCGUGCCAGCAGCCGCGGUAAUACGGAGGUUCCAAGCGUUGUUCGGAAUUACUGGGCGUAAAGGGAGCGCAGGCGGGCAAGUCAGUCUGAAGUGAAAUCCCGGGGCUCAACCUCGGACUUGCUUCGGAUACUGCUUGUCUUGAGUUCGUGAUAGGAAGACGGAAUUCAGGGUGUAGCGGUGAAAUGCACAGAUAUCCUGAGGAACACCGGUGGCGAAAGCGGUCUUCUGGCGCGAAACUGACGCUGAGGCUCGAAAGCGUGGGUAGCAAACGG